UCUCGCUGCUGAUUGGUCCAUGGAGAGAAGCGCAUGUGCAUUGGGCGGAGCCUCACCUGGAGUUGUGAGGAGGAGGUUGUGAUGAAGAAGCGCUGCUGGUCAGAGGAAGGGAAGAGGAGGAAGAGGAGGAGGCUGAACGAGGACAGGAGCUGCUCCACCCAUCUGAUAACACCUGAACACCUUCAGACAGACAAACUGAAAUCGAACAUGGUUGAAUCCCCACAUGACUCUCCAAGGAUUCCGGUAAACCCCGUCCCCCCGGGUUCCUGAGGAGGAUAGAUCAAAUGCCAUCAGAGAGCAACCUACGUGAUGUGUGUGGUUUCUGCAUCUGUCUCACUUGACACCGUCUCUCCAAACGAGUGAGACGGCGGAGCGCUGAGCGGCUGAGGUGCUGCAGCUCAGUUUUACCUCUCCUUGGCGUCGAGGAAAGCUUUAGCAAACGGGUUGUAUCUAAUCUUCAGAGCCGUGAUCUGCACAGAAAAACAUCCAAACUCUGGCAGUGACAGCGAUGAACUGAGUUUCUUUGAAGGACACGUUGGAAACCAGACGAUGACGAGAGCCGACGCACACGAUGUGAAGCUGAGGCUCGUACUUAUGAAGAGAGUUCAACAUGAUCUGAAGACACAGUGACAAAGACAUGAGCAAACAAACGUUUAUACCUAUCUGUAUCCACCUGUACCUGUCCAUAGUACACACUUUGUAGUGGUCUGUACUUGUUUGUAACCAUCUGGUUUUUACCCAUCUGUACAAAACUGACCCCACCUACAGCUGCUGCACUAGUGUGUACUGAUUGUACCCACUGAUGUGACAAACCCACCUGCAGUUUGUACACCUCUUUACCUGUACAUACUUAUUUGUUCUACUAGUUGACUGAUAUGGGUUUUGCGUUGUUUGAUGCCAAUGUAUAAUGCAGAUAUCAUGUAGUUUUUUUUCUUUUUGCAUCAGAAAAAAUACAACAAUUUAAUGAGACAAAUCAAAAUUUACUUAACAUUAAUAAAUUAUGAAAACAGU